AGUGAACGCUGGCGGUAGGCCUAACACAUGCAAGUCGAACGGCAGCACAGUAAGAGCUUGCUCUUACGGGUGGCGAGUGGCGGACGGGUGAGGAAUACAUCGGAAUCUGCUUUUUCGUGGGGGAUAACGUAGGGAAACUUACGCUAAUACCGCAUACGACCUACGGGUGAAAGCAGGGGAUCUUCGGACCUUGCGCGAUUGAAUGAGCCGAUGUCGGAUUAGCUAGUUGGCGGGGUAAAGGCCCACCAAGGCGACGAUCCGUAGCUGGCCUGAGAGGAUGAUCAGCCACACUGGAACUGAGACACGGUCCAGACUCCUACGGGAGGCAGCAGUGGGGAAUAUUGGACAAUGGGCGCAAGCCUGAUCCAGCCAUACCGCGUGGGUGAAGAAGGCCUUCGGGUUGUAAAGCCCUUUUGUUGGGAAAGAAAAGCAGCAGGUUAAUACCCCGCUGUUCUGACGGUACCCAAAGAAUAAGCACCGGCUAACUUCGUG
rnacentral:rRNA from 1 species